rfam:Flavobacteriaceae bacterium TMED120 8820, whole genome shotgun sequence.
AGUCAUCGAAGGAAAGACCUUAAUUCAUGACU